UACGUAGGGUGCAAGCGUUGUCCGGAAUUAUUGGGCGUAAAGAGCUCGUAGGCGGUUUGUCGCGUCUGCUGUGAAAACCCGAGGCUCAACCUCGGGCCUGCAGUGGGUACGGGCAGACUAGAGUGCGGUAGGGGAGAUUGGAAUUCCUGGUGUAGCGGUGGAAUGCGCAGAUAUCAGGAGGAACACCGAUAGCGAAGGCAGCUCGCUGGGACGGUACUGACGCUGAGGUGCGAAAGCGUGGGGAGCGAACAGG
rnacentral:rRNA from 1 species